rnacentral:rRNA from 1 species
UACGUAGGGUGCAAGCGUUAAUCGGAAUUACUGGGCGUAAAGCGUGCGCAGGCGGUUGUGCAAGACAGGUGUGAAAUCCCCGGGCUUAACCUGGGAACUGCAUUUGUGACUGCACGGCUAGAGUGUGUCAGAGGGGGGUAGAAUUCCACGUGUAGCAGUGAAAUGCGUAGAUAUGUGGAGGAAUACCGAUGGCGAAGGCAGCCCCCUGGGAUAACACUGACGCUCAUGCACGAAAGCGUGGGGAGCAAACAGG